rnacentral:rRNA from 1 species
CCUACGGGGGGCAGCAGUGGGGAAUAUUGGACAAUGGGGGCAACCCUGAUCCAGCCAUGCCGCGUGUGUGAAGAAGGCCCUCGGGUUGUAAAGCACUUUCAGUGAGGAAGAACGCCUGGUGGUUAAUACCCAUCAGGAAAGACAUCACUCACAGAAGAAGCACCGGCUAACUCCGUGCCAGCAGCCGCGGUAAUACGGAGGGUGCGAGCGUUAAUCGGAAUUACUGGGCGUAAAGCGCGCGUAGGUGGCUUGAUAAGCCGGUUGUGAAAGCCCCGGGCUCAACCUGGGAACGGCAUCCGGAACUGUCAAGCUAGAGUGCAGGAGAGGAAGGUAGAACUCCCGGUGUAGCGGUGAAAUGCGUAGAGAUCGGGAGGAAUACCAGUGGCGAAGGCGGCCUUCUGGACUGACACUGACACUGAGGUGCGAAAGCGUGGGUAGCAAACAGGAUUAGAUACCCGAGUAGUC